UGAUGUUUUAUGAAAAGCGUAUUUGUAGAUUUUUGUUUCUAUCUUAUUUUCGUUCAAUGUCGAUUCGAUAAUCAUAUGUUAGGUUUUGAUUUCCCUGAAUACAUGCCAACACAUUUUCAGUCAUGGACCCACCCUUAUUAUAUAUGAAAAUCUUCAAUGGGUCCUUAGUAUGGUUUAUAAAGGAGAUUCAACUUCAGGUGGAUUUGCUAGGCAUAGGUGAACCCUAACCAUGACCAAUGAUGAAAAGCUGUUGUGGCCAUACAUUUGAGACCUAGCCCUGAUAGCACCAUGACCUUGCGUAGUUGCUGAACCCUAGCUGCCUUGCCUAAAAUCUAGGAAAAACAAGUGCCAUGAUUUCAUAUCCACUGUUGCCGUUGUGGAUUUUCAAUAGGCUUACCACUAUCCCCUGCCUAAAAUCUUAGCCUUAGGAAAAACAAGGGUCAAUGAUACCACACCUACCGUCUUUGUUGCGAACCAUAACACCAAAACCUUGCCUGAACCCUACCGGUGGUACCUUCAGAUUUUGAUUUUCUUUAAUUGUGAUUUGUUACCAUACUUGAUAAGAAAUUUAGUGAAAUAAAGGUUUUAACCUAGGAAUUGCGUGAAAGGUUCAUGUUUGAACCCUUGACUUGCUUGUUAAGUGAGUGAGAUGGUAAUGGUGAAUCUUAGCUGAAGGAUGACUGGUUUUUCCUAUAGCAACCAGAAAUCUGAUCCCUCAUUCAUUUAAAUCACGUUUUAGUAAUCAUAGAUCAUGCAUACAAUCCUUUGAUAUGCAUAUGCUCACAACCUUCAAAAUUGAAGUGUCACACCCUUAGUUCCUAGUAGAGUGUAUUUUGAAUACAAAUAUGACAGGGGCUAUAGUUUUCUUAUCGGUAAAUAUUUUUUAUUUCUAUUACUCUAUAUAUUUAAAUGUUAGUUAUUGAUUUUUCUUACACUAAGGAAAUUAUCUUAUUGAAACUUCUAAAGUUACAAAAGUUAACCCAUUUGCAACUUGAACUCUUUAUUCCAAUUUCCAAGGAUGGAGGUGGUAGUACUUAAGACAUUGGUUGGGGAAUGGAAAUUUGGAAAGUUUUCAUGUUAAACUUAAUUGUUUGCUUGUUCGUCAUCAUUAUAAAUAAACCGAUCAUAUUAAUUUGUGCUUCACAAGAUUACUCUAUUUUAUCAUGUUACAAGGUAUCUUGGAUAUUUAAAGCAUAUAUGAUGUCAAACUUCUCAAUUAAGUACAUAAUAAUAUAAAGGAUCAUUGCCAUUGAUUCUCAUAUAGUUUCCAAUUUUUUUUUUCUUCCAGAUAUGGAGUUAUUAUAGGCACAAAUUGUGACAAGGGCUGGCAUAAACCUUCAUUGUAAUAUUUUCAUACUUGUCGCAUGCCACAUAAAUCCUCUGCAGCUCAUCUAAGGAAGUGAUUUUCAUUUCUCAGUGCCGCUACUCUAGCUGGUAGCUCAUCACACUCAGCCUGGUGAUAAAGUAUUAAUUUGGAGAUAGUCUGUGUAUCCCUCUGCUGAAGCUGGAUCUGUGACAAUGCAGCCAAAUUCCUUUGCCGCCUCAAAAACAGUGGUGCGACCACCAAUGGUGAGAAAGGAGAGAAGGGAGAAACAGGCGCUUGGCAGUGGAAAAAUGGCUGGGGAAGCAUGGGAAGGAGGGUGCAAAUAGGGAGGAUGAUGUGUGUGGGGUAAUUUGAACAACUUACAUUUCCUGUACGUAUAUGCAUUGAUAUGAACAACAGUCACUUGAUUCUAGUAGACAAUAGUUCUCAGUCUCUUUGUUGCAGAAAUUGGAACUUCACUCACCGAAAAUGUCAGAAGUGCGAAAAGUUCAGUUAAAAAAAACACAUAGUUUUCAGCCUUUUCCUUCACCCCCUUGUUUUUCUACUUCUUCGAUAUAGAGUCUGGGUCCUCAUAACUAUGCACGAACCCUCGUAACUAUUAUUACUUGUACUAAAAAUAUUAAAUCUCUGUCAUAUUCUAGGAUUCAUACUAUCUGUUUAAAGUAGUUGCAUCUUCGGUUCUUACAAAGCUUUUAGACAUAUAUUGCUGAUCAACAUCAACCAACGCGAUUAUCAUGUCUUCGCAGACAUCGCGAGUACUGAAAAGAGAGAUGAGGAAGCAAUCUAAUAGAGAGUCAGCUAGAAGAUCAAGAUUGCGCAAGCAGGUGACACAUACUUUGUUUAAUGUAACCUCAUAGUGUCCAACUGCCAACUUAACUACCCUACAGAAAGAAAAAAGAAGCUUUUUGAUAAAAGUUGGAUUUUGGUACUUCACUUACGUACUACCUUUAUCACCAGGCUGAGUGUGAAGAGCUACAGGCUAGAGUAGCUGGACUAAGAAAUGAGAAUCUCUUGCUUAGAGAGGAACUGCAGAGGCUAUCUGUGGAAUGUGACAAGGUUGCGAAUGAAAACAUGAAAAUGAAGGAUGAAUUAUGCAAGUCUCUUGGACCAGAGGAGCUCCUUGAGCUUGAUGCAUUUCUUGAAUCACGCUUUGAUGAAGGUAACAGUUGAAAACCUGGUAGUUGGUUACUAAGAUUCUAAAAUUAGGAUGGAAACUCCUUGAAUAAACCAAAAUGAUUGUGGAAACUCAAACAUACACCUUCUUUUCGUGCCUUUUCUUUUGUUUAUCGCAACUAGACCUAUGCAAAAGUCAGGUCUGAAAUCUGAAUGAUGGCUUUAUUGGAAGAAUUUUAAGGAUUUGUUGGUGGCU